rnacentral:rRNA from 1 species
UACGUAGGGUGCGAGCGUUAAUCGGAAUUACUGGGCGUAAAGCGUGCGUAGGUGGUUCGUUAAGUCUGUCGUGAAAGCCCCGGGCUCAACCUGGGAAUGGCGAUGGAUACUGGCGAGCUAGAGUGCGGUAGAGGGUGGUGGAAUUCCCGGUGUAGCAGUGAAAUGCGUAGAGAUCGGGAGGAACAUCAGUUGCGAAGGCGGCCACCUGGACCAGCACUGACACUGAGGCACGAAAGCGUGGGGAGCAAACAGG